AUGUCAAAUGCUGGGAAUGCAGAGGAUUUGGAAGGCUCGCAGCGCUGGGAGCCGGGAGAGGGCGGCAGCGCGGCUCGGAUGCGGGCGCUGAGAGCCGGGGGAGGAGCCCCCCCCCCCCCCCCCCCCCCCCCCCCCCCCCCCCCCCCCCUGAGAGCCGGGGGAGGAGGACACCCCACCCACCCCGAGACACGGAUAGAGACCAGGAUAAAUAACAACCAACCUCAUUCCAGUUCAGGGUUUGCCCGCUUGGCGCUAUCUGACCUGGAACACCAAAUGCUGGAACACAAAUGCUUGGCUCUCUCGGCUGAAUAGCUCAGCUCCUUUAUUACCUUUGCGCCGGCCUGAGGAAUGAAAGGAAAAGAUCCUGGGGCAAAAGGCUUUUCUCAGCAAGCAAACUGUGCAAUGUGCUGCUGAGGAGCUGAUAAUAACUGCGUGAGGAACACAAAACAACCCUUUUGCCCCUCUUCUUACACCUCUUGAAGGAAAUCACUUGUCUGUAUUGGAAGAUCAGCCCAGUCUUUCUCACCUCUUUCUACAGCAAGAAACAAAAUCUGCGAGUUGUCAGCCUGAUUCACAGGCAGAGGGGAUUUAGCAGGACAGGCCUCCUUCUCUAAGCACUUUUAGAAAACACAUAAGCAUUGUAGUUUUGUAAGCUGUUGGAAUAAAUAUAUAUAUAAUGAGGGAGAGGGUGUUGGCUAAGUUUCUUUGGAUAACAAAAGAAGAUGGCUGGGAUCAAAUGAUGUUCUAUUACCUGAAGGCAUCCCAGCAGCAGGAGAGUUAUUGGAUGCUCUGAAAUUCCUCCUGACCCCUCUGUUCCUCAAUAAACCUGCACACAACUUCCUCUGGGGAUGGGCCAAGUAUUGCUCCAUUAGUAUGCAGCACCACAGUUAGCAGGGCAGGAAAAUACACACCAGGAGGAGAGAAAAAUAGAUGAAAAGUGGCAGGAGCAAAGUAAAUGCUUUUUAAAUUCUGGACAGAAACUUCCCUCCACUGAGAUUCCUGUAGGUCUGUGGUGUCACAACAAGAUGUAAAAUAUUCUGAGGUGAGAGGAAGGUUGGUCCAUUUACUCG
rnacentral:lncRNA from 1 species